CCCAGACUCCUACGGGAGGCAGCAGUGGGGAAUAUUGCACAAUGGGGGAAACCCUGAUGCAGCGACGCCGCGUGAGUGAAGAAGUAUUUCGAUAUGUAAAGCUCUAUCAGCAGGGAAGAAGAUGACGGUACCUGAUUAAGAAGCCCCGGCUAACUACGUGCCAGCAGCCGCGGUAAUACGGAGGAUGCGAGCGUUAUCCGGAUUUAUUGGGUUUAAAGGGUGCGCAGGCGGAGGUGCAAGUCAGCGGUCAAAUUGCGGGGCUCAACCCCGUACUGCCGUUGAAACUGCAUCCCUUGAGUGCGCGAGAAGUAUGCGGAAUGCGUGGUGUAGCGGUGAAAUGCAUAGAUAUCACGAAGAACCCCGAUUGCGAAGGCAGCCUGCCGCAGCGUUACUGACGCUGAAGCUCGAAAGCGCGGGUAUCGAACAGGAUUAGAUACCCCAGUAC
rnacentral:rRNA from 1 species